rnacentral:tRNA from 1 species
CGGCUGCUCGGCAAGGGCGUCGCCGCGGGCCUUACCGCGGCCUGGGCGCGGCCCGCCGGGCACGUGCGGCGGGCGGCCGG